rnacentral:rRNA from 1 species
UGGCAGCAGCAGGAGUUUCCGCAAUGGGCGAAAGCCUGACGGAGCAACGCCGCGUGGGGAUGACACCUUCGGGCGUAAACCCUUUCUUGGGACGAAGCAGUGACGGUACCCGAGGAAGAAGGCCCGGCUAACUACGUGCCAGCAGCCGCGGUAAUACGUAGGGGCCGAGCGUUGUCCGGAGUUACUGGGCGUAAAGCGCGCGCAGGCGGCUCGUCAAGCCUGACGUGAAAGCCCCCGGCUCAACCGGGGAGGGUCGUCGGGGACUGGCGGGCUUGAGGUCGGCAGGGGCUGGUGGAAUUCCCGGUGUAGUGGUGAAAUGCGUAGAGAUCGGGAGGAACACCCGUGGCGAAGGCGGCCAGCUGGGCCGGACCUGACGCUGAGGCGCGAAGGCGUGGGGAGCGAACGGGAUUAGAUACCCCGGUAGUCCACGCAGUAAACGAUGCAGACUAGGCGUGGGGGGACUUGACCCCCUCCGUGCCGAAGCCAACGCGUGAAGUCUGCCGCCUGGGGAGUACGGCCGCAAGGCUA